UACGGAGGGUGCGAGCGUUGUCCGGAAUCAUUGGGCGUAAAGGGCGCGUAGGCGGCCUUCUAAGUCGAACGUGAAAUCCCUGGGCUCAACCCAGGAACUGCGUCCGAUACUGGAAGGCUUGAAUCCGGGAGAGGGAUGCGGAAUUCCAGGUGUAGCGGUGAAAUGCGUAGAUAUCUGGAGGAACACCGGUGGCGAAGGCGGCAUCCUGGACCGGCAUUGACGCUGAGGCGCGAAAGCGUGGGGAGCAAACAGG
rnacentral:rRNA from 1 species